rnacentral:rRNA from 1 species
UUUUAUGGAGAGUUUGAUCCUGGCUCAGGAUGAACGCUGGCGGCGUGCCUAAUACAUGCAAGUCGAGCGAACGGACGAGAAGCUUGCUUCUCUGAUGUUAGCGGCGGACGGGUGAGUAACACGUGGAUAACCUACCUAUAAGACUGGGAUAACUUCGGGAAACCGGAGCUAAUACCGGAUAAUAUUUUGAACCGCAUGGUUCAAAAGUGAAAGACGGUCUUGCUGUCACUUAUAGAUGGAUCCGCGCUGCAUUAGCUAGUUGGUAAGGUAACGGNUUACCA